rnacentral:lncRNA from 1 species
AUUAAUACCAUUAGAACAUCUUCACAUUAUAGCUUCACACAAACUUUACAUAUAGCUUCAUAUGUGUAUAAUAAUACAACACUAUAAUAGCACUCAUAUAAUGCCCUUCAUGGCCUCAAUUUACAAUAAUACGAUAUUCCAACAUUAUACAACAACUUCACCAAUGCCUUCAUGGCUACAAUUCACAAUAAUACCACACA